rnacentral:tRNA from 1 species
GGGGAUGAGAUGUUCAAGAAAAAGCUGCUAACUUUUUUCUUUAGCGGUUAAAUUCCGUUUACACCCCUA